UAUAAAUUGCUCUUAUAUUGUAUGUAUAUUUAAGUUCGCAUUGUGAAUCGUUUCAACAUACAUAUUUUAGACAGCAGUGUGUUUUGUUUUGUUUAUUAUAAACAUUAGUCUGACGAUAUGAAUUUCUUCCUUGAUUUUUGUUAGUCCUUUGGUGUGAGGAUAAAAGCUGAGAUAUCUAAAAAUAGACGGACAAAAGUCAAUGUAAACAAUCAAAUAAAACAGUACUCUGAUUAUAACAACCAUUGAUAUGUCACAAUUUUAAGUAAGAAUUGCGCAAAAUAUUCUAAUACGGCUAACUACAACAAGUUUAAUCGAAGUGAUACGGUGUUAUCAUAUUUAUGUUUUCAAUUUAAAUAAAAAAUACAAUAUAAAUGGUGAUUUAACAAGGUUUGGAGAGGAAAACACGACUGUUGAUGAAAUGGAAUUUAAUUUAGAAGAUGGAUUCACCAGUGCUUUUUGAUGACACCUAUUUGGAGGAAUGCCCAACAACGGUUUCGACUCCCGUAAAAGAACAAUUGACAUUUAAACGGAAGAAGUUCAACGUUUCUGGUUGCUACAACACAGAGGCAAGCUCCUCAAAGCAACAAGUAAACAAUUUGCCUGUGGAUGGAAAUGAUGUUUUUAACAUGUUCUUCAAAUUACAGACACAGUUUGUUUUAAGGAUGAAAGACAGUGUAUGUGAUGUGUUGCGGCAUCUGUACACUGACGAAUUCCUGAUGUGUACGAGUGUUGCUUAAAUAUGCAAACGGGAGCACAAACCACUUUUCCGAUCGCCAAAGAAAACGCCAACUUAUUUAAAAUUAACAAUUGUUUUAAUUUAAUGUUUAUUUAAUGUACAAAUGUCGUUUACAUAAGUUAUCGGGUUUUAAAGUUAUUAAAAAUGCGGAUGCCGAUCUUAACCGAACUGGGUGCCCAAAGAAUUUAGCGCGCAGGCUUGUCGUCGUAUCACGUUAUCGUAUCGGCUUGAUCUAGCGCACAGGAUCGAUGUACCACGAAGUAAAUAACUGGUGACUGGUGUCGACGUGACUCAACGUGGAAAUAUCAAAAACGAAAGUUGAAUGCCAAUGCAGGAUUGAUCCGAUUUAAUGUGCGAGAGUUUAUUGCAGCGCGUGAACGUAUGUUGAUAUGCGAACUGUAUGUAGAUAUCGUAUCGAAUUGAUUGGAGGUGCUGGCGAAAGGUGUCGACGCGGCGCUGUGUGUAAACGAAUGUGUCCUCCUCUCCUGUUGUCUAUCCUUUUUGUCUAGUGGGUAGGAGCACAGGUGUGGUGAGUUGCGUUGAAGUGUCAUCAGCUGUGGUGAAUUACGCGGUCGUAUUAGAGUGCGCCAGUUUUUCCCAGGUUGAGUGAGGUGAUGCUUAACUCAUUUAAACACCUGACUUUGUGCAACUGGGACGGUAGGGGAGACAAGCAACCGCAAUCAAAGUUUCUGUUGUCCAACAUAUUAUAUGAUUCUUUCAUCACUUGUGGGCUUGCGAAUUUCGAUC